CAUACGCAAAUGGAGGAAGUGCAGUAAAACAACAGGCUUAGCGGAGAAAAGAACAGCGGCUCACGGCAAAGGGGAAAUCGCCAAUCAGGGCAGUCAACUGGAACACGGUGACCAAAAAAAAGCAGUGAAUUCAGAUGCACAACCACUUGACGUAAUACCAGAUAACACAAUAACACAAUGCCAAAAGGGUAGCAGGGCUAGCUAUCCAAAAUUGGGCAAAGACGAAAGGGCUCUUUCCCCCACAUUGGUAAAAACUGAUGCACCUGAAAGCACGGAUCCACAAACCUGCUGCUCUUCUGCCAAACUAUGUGCCAAACCAGGCGAGCAGGUUGAAGCUGGGAUGAGUAUUAACCAUCCGAUAACUGUUCUGAAAAAGAAUCCAGUUGUGCCAAUGUGCAAGGAGACACUGAGGUCAGUAUAUGUGACCCUUUGUUGCUGAUGUGCCAAACCUAGGGUCAUCUGUAGCAUCUGAGACUAACUUUGAUAGUCUAGGAAUCAAAUUGACCACAACGAACUGUAAUACUGAGCCAAGCAUAGAUCGUUCUCCCAUGCUAACUCCCUCCAUAGUCCCUGUCAGCAUUCAGAAAAAUCAGGAAUCCAGGCCAGAUGAGUGCCUACUGAACCGUGAAAAUCUACAUUCAGUGGAGCCCGGUGAUCUUACAACACAGAGGGAUGGGACUCCAGACACAAAGAAUACAGUUGUGCCGGAGGCCCGCACUCCAGUGGGUGCUGAAUGUAGCACUACAGAGAAGAAGAGGAGGCCGUCCAUGUGCUCACCUCAGCAUUGGGAGGAAUUAAUCACACAGCAUGGAGAACUUGAAGUUCAGCAGUCUGACAAAUCCUCUUCACGAGGCUUUAGCACACCAACAGCCAAUGUAACUGUAACCACUAUUCACUCCCUGGUUAAUCCUGCCACCACAGCAGCCAUAGCAACAGCCAUCCCAGCAUUAAGCGAGGGGGAGGUGGGGGUGAGAGGUGGAGACUUGCUGCCUCUGGUGAACUCAGAGUUGCUAUCAGAGCCGGCAAGAGUUGACGAGAAGGACAAGGUGGCCGCUAAAGAGGGGUCUCCUGAUGUGGGCGAGGAGGAAGAAGAGGAUGAGUUUGGGGCUUUCAAGCAGAUAGGUGGAGAGCAGCUGUGGACGGAUGGAUUCAGUGAGGCCCAACAUUUAGCUGAGGAUUACAACUGUGAGAAACACACAAGUUCUGCUGAUGCAAAUGAACCCGCAUCCUGGGCAUCUGAUUGGACUGCAGUUCAGUCAUUCCAGCAUUCAGAGAGCACAUGGACUGCCUUCAGCCAGGAGACUGUGGAGCAGAAGAUAGUGCCUGGUGGCCAGUGGUGGACUUCUACCGAAAAGCCAAACCUUCCCCUCUCUCUUUUACAUAAUGUGUCAAAAGUGUUUCUAGAGGCCUUUCCCUCUGAAAAGUCCCCCUGUGAAGAUCCUGAAUACAUUCCUACACUAAAGCAGCUUCUGCAAGGACCAGCUGAAAACAGCAAUACAGGGGAGCACAAGGAGCAGAGCUUACUUGACGGCCUCCAGGAUCUAGACCGGAUGAUUGGUGUGAAAUAUAAGAGGGCGGAGUCUCUGUCCUGUAAACUUCUCCUUCAGUCACUGCGUUUGGAACGUCCCAGUUCUGAAUGUGUUACCGUUCGUCUGAAGAACAGUGCCAGAUUUUCUCCAAAUCUCCCAACAUCCAACCAGCAGUUAGCUGCAAAUGCUAAGAGGAGACUGUCAUAUGACUUUAACAGAAAUAUUAUGACCUAG
rnacentral:lncRNA from 1 species